UACGUAGGGUGCAAGCGUUGUCCGGAAUUAUUGGGCGUAAAGAGCUCGUAGGCGGUCUGUUGCGUCGGCUGUGAAAACCCGGGGCUCAACCCCGGGCCUGCAGCCGAUACGGGCAGACUAGAGUUCGGCAGGGGAGACUGGAAUUCCUGGUGUAGCGGUGGAAUGCGCAGAUAUCAGGAGGAACACCGGUGGCGAAGGCGGGUCUCUGGGCAGUAACUGACGCUGAGAAGCGAAAGCGUGGGGAGCGAACAGG
rnacentral:rRNA from 1 species